rnacentral:rRNA from 1 species
UGGGGAAUAUUGCGCAAUGGGCGAAAGCCUGACGCAGCGACGCCGCGUGAGGGAUGAAGGUUUUCGGAUCGUAAACCUCUGUCAGAAGGGAAGAAACCGCACUGUGCUAAUCAGCAGUGCCUUGACGGUACCUUCUAAGGAAGCACCGGCUAACUCCGUGCCAGCAGCCGCGGUAAUACGGAGGGUGCAAGCGUUAAUCGGAAUUACUGGGCGUAAAGCGCACGUAGGCUGCUUUGUAAGUCAGGGGUGAAAUCCCACGGCUCAACCGUGGAACUGCCUUUGAUACUGCUUAGCUUGAAUCCGGGGAGGGUGGCGGAAUUCCAGGUGUAGGAGUGAAAUCCGUAGAUAUCUGGAGGAACAUCAGUGGCGAAGGCGGCCACCUGGAACGGUAUUGACGCUGAGGUGCGAAAGCGUGGGGAGCAAACAGG